rnacentral:rRNA from 1 species
UGCGUAGGCGGGUUGAUAAGUCAGUGGUGAAAGGCUACCGCUCAACGGUAGAAUUGCCAUUGAUACUGUCAAUCUUGAAUACAGUCGAGGUGGGCGGAAUGUAACGUGUAGCGGUGAAAUGCUUAGAUAUGUUACAGAACACCAAUUGCGAAGGCAGCUUGCUAGACUGUUAUUGACGCUGAGGCACGAAAGCGUGGGUAGCGAACAGGAUUAGAUACCCUGGUAGUC